GCCUUCGUGGUGUAAUGGUCAGCACACUGAGCCCGGUAUUUCAGAGGUCCGUGGUUCGAUCCCCGGCGAAGGCA
rnacentral:tRNA from 1 species